AACAUAAAACAACGAUACACACGCUGCAUUCCUGUAAAAGAAACACACAACAAAAACACAGCAUGCUGCCAAUGAAACUCUCUUUUUUUCCCCUUUUUGUAUGUUUUCUCUCUUACUCUCUUUCUCUCUCUCUUCAUCGAGACAAGAAGAAGAAGAAAGAGAGGGAAAGAAAAGGCAUUGUUGUUGUUAUUGUUGUUGUUUCUCAAAAAAGAAACCAUCGUGGGGUAGUAUUCUUGUAAUCCAAGUACUCCUUUCCAAAUUUCUUCUUCAAGUAUCGUUCUUCUGGUGAAAUAACAAAGAGAUUCAACACACUAAACAAAUA
rnacentral:ribozyme from 12 species